rnacentral:rRNA from 1 species
AUUGAACGCUGGCGGCAUGCCUUACACAUGCAAGUCGAACGGCAGCACGGGAGCAAUCCUGGUGGCGAGUGGCGAACGGGUGAGUAAAGUAUCGGAACGUGCCCAGUCGUGGGGGAUAACGUAGCGAAAGUUACGCUAAUACCGCAUACGAUCUACGGAUGAAAGCGGGGGAUCGCAAGACCUCGCGCGAAUGGAGCGGCUGAAUGCAGAUGAGGUAGUUGGUGGGGUAAAGGCUCACCAAGCCGACGAUCUGUAGCUGGUCUGAGAGGACGACCAGCCACACUGGGACUGAGACACGGCCCAGACUCCUACGGGAGGCAGCAGUGGGGAAUUUUGGACAAUGGGCGCAAGCCUGAUCCAGCCAUGCCGCGUGCAGGAUGAAGGCCUUCGGGUUGUAAACUGCUUUUAUACGGAACGAAAAGGUUUGGCCUAAUAAGCUGGACCCAUGACGGUACCGUAAGAAUAAGCACCGGCUAACUACGUGCCAGCCGCCGCGGUAA